CGCGGCCUAUCAGCUUGUUGGUGAGGUAACGGCUCACCAAGGCAUCGACGGGUAGCUGGUCUGAGAGGAUGAUCAGCCACACUGGGACUGAGACACGGCCCAGACUCCUACGGGAGGCAGCAGUAGGGAAUAUUGCACAAUGGGCGAAAGCCUGAUGCAGCAACGCCGCGUGCGGGAAGAAGGCCCUAGGGUUGUAAACCGCUUUCAGCAGGGAAGAAAAUGACGGUACCUGCAGAAGAAGGUGCGGCCAACUACGUGCCAGCAGCCGCGGUGACACGUAGGGACCGAGCGUUGUCCGGAUUUAUUGGGCGUAAAGAGCUCGUAGGCGGUUCAGUAAGUCGGGUGUGAAAACUCUGGGCUCAACCCAGAGACGCCACUCGAUACUGCUGUGACUUGAGUCCGGUAGAGGAGUGUGGAAUUCCUGGUGUAGCGGUGAAAUGCGCAGAUAUCAGGAGGAACACCAGCGGCGAAGGCGGCACUCUGGGCCGGUACUGACGCUGAGGAGCGAAAGCAUGGGGAGCAAACAGGAUUAGAUACCCUGGUAGUCCAUGCCGUAAACGUUGGGCACUAGGUAUGG
rnacentral:rRNA from 1 species